UGGACUUCUACGGUAGCGAAGUUCCAGUUUGUGGAUUCCGAAGAAUUCUUCUCUUCAUUUUGUCUUCAAUUUGCCUCGUCGAGGAAGGCCUUGUCGACUUUGGGAACCUUCGUUCCUGCUACAAUAUGCGGCAGCCGUCACCAGGAAACCAUAAGGACGUGCUACAUCGUGGAAUCGUGGUCAAGAGAACCACUUCGAACGCUCGCUUCUUUUGAUCGCUUCCCGCGCGCGCGAGCGCUCACGCAACGUUGGUUCCUCUCCGAGUUGUCCACGAUGGUUAAGCAGGAAUGUUUUAAUUGCCGUCGAUGCAUCGCGGUAGCUGGCUGGGUAAAAGCUGAGGGAGGAAGAAUGCCUUGGACCAGUGACUCUUAACCAUCCUGCUCUGCGACGCGACGUCCUAGAUACUGUUUUAACGACCUGGGGAAUAUUCAUCUUUUACUAAAAUUCAUGGUUAAGAGCUGUACCCAAUUUAUGCGUUGCAAGGCCCAAGUUUUUGGGUUCAUAUCGAGCUAUUUCAACUAUUCCAUUGACAUAACUUGGGAUGCUGUAAAAGAUCUCCUGAUGCACGCUACGAAAAGAGAACGCCACAGCUGACUGGUUAAUGCAUGAACAUCCAUUAAAAAUUAUUCCUAAUUCAACAAAUGGAACGUACUGGUGGUCACAAAGACUCACAGACAGUCAUAGAAUUGCAAGGCCAUUUCAAGGUCAGGUAGAUCCACCAAGAGAGCCAAUUUGUAUUCCUGCUCAACCCAGAUACAACCGACGCACACCUUUCGACCGCAAUAACGAAUGUCUUGUGAAAAUGUCCACGUGCGAAAUUUAAUUUUUAAGAGGAGUGGGGGGAAUACAAAUUCCUCGGAGAACCGCGCAGGUAAUGCAAUAUCCGUUACGCGGUACGUGUUCGCCAGCGGCCGAUUUCCCGGCUGCGGUCAGCCUGAUUUUUCCACGCUUGGAAAAUCGUGUCACGUUCUCCCGACGAUACUUUUUUUGGCUAGAACAUUCAAAUUUCACGGAGUGGCCAGAAAUAGCGGGAUUACGACGGCCGAGCGAUAGCGCGGAUUAACAUUCACCCCGACGAUCGUGCGAGGUAUUUCGAUAAUUCGACGGAGACGUGUCGUCGAUCGUGAUCGGCGAGCGAAUUCGCGAAACGAGGUGAGCAGUGUGUCGAACCGAUGUCCCACGGAACAUCGAUGUCACAGGACCUCUCCUCUUCCUCUCUCUACCGUGAUCACAUAACGUAGGCCCCUCGCACAUACUUAAUGAAAGGAAUCUCUGAGAAUGAACGACCGCUCUCGGUCGAUUAUUCUCCGCGAAUACUCGGAUCGAAGUUCUGUCACGAACCGUCGAUUUCCUUCAUUUCGCGUGCUCCGAACCUCGCCACUUAUGCCGGUAAUCGAAAAAACCUUCCUGCUUUCAACAGGACAUUCGCAAGAACACAGACAAGGAUCCAGGCGUCAACAUCCAUAUAUAAUACUAUUAUUCUAUUUAUUCAAAUUACUCAAUGUAUCAUAAUGAAUGUUUGUACAAAAUGCGAAAACAUCAUGUUAUGUAUUCAAAUCAUAUUUAGCUUAUCAAUAAACGAU